rnacentral:rRNA from 1 species
AAGGGUGAGUAAUGCGACGGUAACCAACCCCAGGAAUGGGUAUAGCCGCGGGAAACUGCGGGUAAUCCCCAGCGAUGUGCAGGAUCGGCAUCGAUUCUUCACCAAAGUUCCGGCGUCCUGGGACGGGCCGUUGUGGUAUUAGCUAGUUGGCGGGGUAACGGCCCACCAAGGCUUCGAUGCCUACCGGGCGUGCGAGCGUGGCCCGGCACACUGGGACUGAGACACUGCCCAGACUCCUACGGGAGGCUGCAGUCGAGAAUCUUCGGCAAUGGGCGCAAGCCUGACCGAGCGACGCCGCGUGGAGGAUGAAGGCCUUCGGGUUGUAAACUCCUGUCGAGGGGGAGGAAGGCGCAAGCUUGACCGAUCCCUGGAGGAAGCACGGGCUAAGUUCGUGCCAGCAGCCGCGGUAAGACGAACCGUGCGAACGUUAUUCGGAAUCACUGGGCUUAAAGCGCGUGUAGGUGGAUGGGCGCAUCGAUUGCUGAAAGCCCCCGGCUCAACCGGGGAAGUGGCGUCGAGAUGGCCUGUCUCGAGGGGGGUAGGGGGAUCUGGAACUUCCGGUGGAGCGGUGAAAUGCGUUGA